rnacentral:rRNA from 1 species
AUUGAACGCUGGCGGCAUGCUUUACACAUGCAAGUCGAACGGUAACAGGCCGCAAGGUGCUGACGAGUGGCGAACGGGGGCGUAAUGCAUCGGAACGUGCCCGGACCUGGGGGAUAACUACUCGAAAGGGUAGCUAAUACCGCAUACGACCUCUGGCUGAAAGCGGGGGACCGUAAGGCCUCGCCCGAUUGGGGCGGACGAUGUGAGAUUAGGUAGUUGGUGGGGUAAAGGCCCACCAAGCCAACGAUCUGUAGCUGGUCUGAGAGGACGACCAGCCACACUGGGACUGAGACACGGCCCAGACUCCUACGGGAGGCAGCAGUGGGGAAUUUUGGACAAUGGGCGCAAGCCUGAUCCAGCAAUGCCGCGUGCAGGAAGAAGGCCUUCGGGUUGUAAACUGCUUUUAUACGGAACGAAACGGCUCUGGUUAAUACCCGGGGCUAAUGACGGUACCGUAAGAAUAAGCACCGGCUAACUACGUG